GACGAACGCUGGCGGCGUGCCUAACACAUGCAAGUCGAACGGAAAGGCCCUGCUCUUGCGGGGUGCUCGAGUGGCGAACGGGUGAGUAACACGCGAGUAAACUGCACUUGACAUUGGGAUAACUUCAGGAAACUGGGGCUAAUAUCGGAUAGGAGCUACUGCUGCACGGUGGGGGUUGGUAAGAUUCGGCGGUUGGGGAUGGACUCGCGGCUUACCAGCUUGUUGGGGGGGUAGUGGCUUACCAAGGCUUCGAAGGGUAGCCGGCCUGGGAGGGUAACCGGGCACAUUGGGACUGAGAUACGGCCCAGACGCGUACGUGAGGCAGCAGUGGGGAAUAUUGCGCAGUAGGCGGAAGCCAGAGACAGCGACGCCGCGUUCGGGAUGACGUCCUUCGGGUUGUAAACCGCUUUCGCCGGUGACGAGGCGUUAGUGACGGUAAUGAGUAAGAAAGCACCGGCUAACUACGUG
rnacentral:rRNA from 1 species